rnacentral:rRNA from 1 species
AUUGAACGCUGGCGGCAGGCCUAACACAUGCAAGUCGAACGGUAGCACAGAGAGCUUGCUCUCGGGUGACGAGUGGCGGACGGGUGAGUAAUGUCUGGGAAACUGCCCGAUGGAGGGGGAUAACUACUGGAAACGGUAGCUAAUACCGCAUAACGUCGCAAGACCAAAGUGGGGGACCUUCGGGCCUCACACCAUCGGAUGUGCCCAGAUGGGAUUAGCUAGUAGGUGGGGUAAUGGCUCACCUAGGCGACGAUCCCUAGCUGGUCUGAGAGGAUGACCAGCCACACUGGACCUGAGACACGGUCCAGACUCCUCGGGGAGGAAGCAGUGGGGAAUAUUGCACAAUGGGCGCAAGCCUGAUGCAGCCAUGCCGCGUGUAUGAAGAAGGCCUUCGGGUUGUAAAGUACUUUCAGCGGGGAGGAAGGCGGUGAAGUUAAUAGCUUCACCGAUUGACGUUACCCGCAGAAGAAGCACCGGCUAACUCCGUGCCAGCAGCCGCAGUAA